rnacentral:rRNA from 1 species
AGAGUUUGAUCAUGGCUCAGGAUAAACGCUGGCGGCGUGCCUAACACAUGCAAGUCGAACGUCCUCUGGCUUCGGCCGGAGGGAGUGGCGGACGGGUGAGGAACACGUGGGGACCUACCCUUCAGUGAGGAAUACCACCGGGAAACCGGUGACAAGACCGCAUAGGCUUGGUGCAAGCCAAGCAAAGCUCCUUUUCGGAGGGGCGCUGGAGGAGGGGCCUGCGGCUGAUUAGCUGGUUGGUGGGGUAACGGCCUACCAAGGCGACGAUCAGUAGCUGGUCUGAGAGGACGAUCAGCCACACUGGGAUUGAGAACGGCCCAGACUCCUACGGGAGGCAGCAGUGAGGAAUUUUCCGCAAUGGGCGCAAGCCUGACGGAGCAACGCCGCGUGCAGGAUGAAGGUCUACGGAUCGUAAACUGCUUUUACCGGGGAAGAGAACGGACGGUACCCGGUGAAUAAGCCCCGGCUCACUACGUGCCAGCAGCCGCGGUAAGACGUAGGGGGCGAGCGUUAUCCGAAUUUAUUGGGCGUAAAGCGUCCGCAGGCGGUCUUCCAAGUUCCUGAUGACAAUCGCCGGCUCAACCGGUGAACGUAUGGGAAAACUGGGAGACUUGAGGGACCGAGAGGGACACGGAACUCCGGGAGUAGUAGUGAAGUGCGUAGAUACUCGGAAGAACACCAAUGGCGAAGGCAGUGUCCUGGCGGUUGCCUGACGCUCAGGGACGAAAGCGAGGGGAGCGAACGGGAUUAGAUACCCUGGUAGUCAAGGGCG